GGUUCCUUAGUGUAGUGGUUAUCACACUGGAUUUUGAUUAUUCAGAAUCUUCCAGUAACCUGAGUUCGACUCUCGGAGGGACCU